rnacentral:rRNA from 1 species
UACGAAGGGGGCUAGCGUUGCUCGGAAUCACUGGGCGUAAAGGGCGCGUAGGCGGAUCUUUAAGUCGGGGGUGAAAGCCCAGGGCUCAACCCUGGAAUUGCCUUCGAUACUGAAGAUCUCGAGACCGGAAGAGGUAAGUGGAACUGCGAGUGUAGAGGUGAAAUUCGUAGAUAUUCGCAAGAACACCAAUGGCGAAGGCGGCUUACUGGUCCGGUUCUGACGCUGAGGCGCGAAAGCGUGGGGAGCAAACAGG